AUGCAGCAGGAGGGCUACCAUCUAUCCGAUGGUGCCUUACCCGUCGUGAUGCAGCAGCACGGCGAGCGGCGCGCGGUUCACGUACCAGUUCGUCAAGUGGAUCAUCGCCAAGCGACGAAGCGGUCCUCGGUUCGAGCCAUGGUGAGGGUGGUGCUGGCAGCUGUGGCCACUCGUAGGCCUGGCUGGCAUCUUGACUUCAGCAACUGCCCGACUCAUGCCCCCCCAGCUCCUCGAGUGCACGUACAGUCUUACACUCGCCCUCGCUGCCCUCCACUUUUCCAAUUGCUCGGGCAACUAAUUUUCUGCAUAAUCUAUAGAUGA
rnacentral:rRNA from 1 species